rnacentral:rRNA from 1 species
UACGGAGGGAGCUAGCGUUGUUCGGAAUUACUGGGCGUAAAGCGCACGUAGGCGGCUUUGUAAGUUAGAGGUGAAAGCCCGGGGCUCAACUCCGGAACUGCCUUUAAGACUGCAUCGCUUGAAUCCAGGAGAGGUGAGUGGAAUUCCGAGUGUAGAGGUGAAAUUCGUAGAUAUUCGGAAGAACACCAGUGGCGAAGGCGGCUCACUGGACUGGGUAUUGA